rnacentral:ncRNA from 1 species
GUUAUUUAAGGCUCGGAAAGGCUCCCGACACUCCUUCUUUUCGGAAGGAACCUGAGAUGAUGGAUACGCCGCCCAUCUAAAUAAC